rnacentral:rRNA from 1 species
UACGGGAGGCAGCAGUGGGGAAUAUUAGGCAAUGGGAGAAAUCCUGACCUAGCGAUGUCGAGUGAAUGAUGACAGACCUUGGUUUGUAAAGUUCUUUUGUAAACGAAUAGUAUGAAGGUAGUUUAUGAAUAAGCACCGGCUAACUUCGUGCCAGCAGCCGCGGUAAU